rnacentral:rRNA from 1 species
CGUGUUACAAUGGCAGGUACAGAGGGAUGCUACCGGCGACCGGAUGCGGAUCUCGAAAGCCUGUCCCAGUUCGGACUGGAGUCUGCAACCCGACUCCACGAAGUUGGAUUCGCUAGUAAUCGCGCAUCAGCCAUGGCGCGGUGAAUACGUUCCCGGGCCUUGUACACACCGCCCGUCAAGCCAUGGGAGCCGGGGGCGCCUGAAGUCCGGGACCGCGAGGACCGGCCUAGGGCGAAACCGGUAACUGGGGCUAAGUCGUAACAAGGUAGC